rnacentral:rRNA from 1 species
UACGUAGGUGGCAAGCGUUGUCCGGAUUUACUGGGCGUAAAGGAUGCGUAGGCGGAUAUUUAAGUGAGAUGUGAAAUACCCGAGCUUAACUUGGGUGCUGCAUUUCAAACUGGAUAUCUAGAGUGUGGGAGAGGAGAAUGGAAUUCCUAGUGUAGCGGUGAAAUGCGUAGAGAUUAGGAAGAACACCAGUGGCGAAGGCGAUUCUCUGGACCAUAACUGACGCUGGAGGCAUGAAAGCGUGGGUAGCAAACAGG